AUUUUCCAUUAAUACAGAAAAUGAACCUCUAAACGUUACAUCACUGACAGGCGGCGGUGUAUAUGUUUCCUAACUGUGGCUAAAGCUGCUGCUAGCUGGUUUACUCAUGAUCAGAGGCUGGUUCCUUUGAAUACAGUUGGAGAAUGGUAAAUUGACAAUGACUUAUAACGGUUAUCUAGCACGUAAACACUGUUUUAUAAAACACAGAAAGUGAACCUCUAAACGUUACAGCGCUGACAGAGAGUAUAUUUUUCCUAAAUGUGGCUAAAGCUGCUGCUAGGUGGUUUACUCUCCGAUCGGAGGCUGUUUAUUUUAUACACAGAUAGAGAAUGGUGAAUUUACAAUGAUUAGUAACAGCUAUCUAACACUUAAAUGCUGUUAUUAUUAAACUUACCUUUUAUUAUAUCCUUAAGAUUAUGAGAAUGCGGGAAGUUUUCAGCUUGGUUCCCAAGGCAAAAUCACACCGGAAGUAAAGAUACCCAGUUUUGAGUUAUGGCGGCCAUUGUCUGACGUCACUGUGAAAAGGGUCUAUUAAUCAGUGUGCUGAUUUUUAUACACUCUCUGCUGCUCAUUUCCAGUGUAGUGAAGUAAUGACAUAGUGUGACAUAGCCCCCAGCCCUUAGAUAACCCAGUACAGGCCUGCUAACUGACACUCAUUGUUUCUUUUAUUAGGAAAGAUUACAGUCUAAUAUCGUCUCACAUCUGCGCCCUCACAGAGUGUACUUUUAUUCAACUUGCUCGCCCUCUGCCACUGUGUGGUUGUGCAUGCCUGGACUAAAUGUCGCAUCCUGCAAAGAUCCCACAUCACUGCAUUCCCGCCAUGCAGCUCACAGUCCUGCAAUCCAAUCACAAGAAUCAAUACACCCCUGGUCCUUCAUGGACAAUGCCAACAGAUUCUUUUCUUUUUUUUUUUACUUAAAGAGUAUUAUAGAGGCGAUUCCAUGAACCCAUUACGAGUUGAAGGGUAGGUGUGGUACAAUCAAUACAGAUUCAGCACAUGCUUCCACUGUAGGAAGGGAAGAGGUUCAGGUAACACAACAGUGUUGUGAUUGUCACUUAAUACAAGAAUCUGGAACUUAUUCAUAAUUCAUCGUUUUUGUUUUUUCUUUCUUCUCCUCAAACAGCUGAAGUGUCUGGCUUCCAGUGAAUUAUUAUUCUCUGAUAAAUCUGGCUUUAAUAGAUGAAGGAUUUUCUCGAUUGCACCAUUGAAAGAGCCCGUUUAAAUACUAACUUCAGUACUUUUUUCUUGUAGCUAAUGUGAAUCCCUAUUUAACCAAGCAGCUGUGUUGA